CCUAUUCUUCUGGAAUUAGGAAGAAAGGAAAUAAUUAGAAAGAGGGCCGGGAAACAAAAGCAAAGUGGAAAAUAGGAGAAUAAGUUAUGAAAACAGGACUGGAAGGGAAGAGGGGAACAAAUGCUGGGCAUGAUCCAGCUGAAGCUGAGUGCUUUUAAGGCCUAUUGAUUUCAAGGGGGAGGAGAAGAGCCAUAGCCUAGUGGUGGAGUACCUCCUUUGCAUGCAGUGCAGGAGGUCCCAGAUUCAACCUACAGCAUCUCCAGACCUGCUCGACCUGCAGAAAGUGCAAAAUUUACCAGAGAAUCCACAUCCCAGGCCAGGAGGAACAAAUACAUCUUCACUUGACAUUGGAAAGACAUCAGUGAAGGGGACAGCCAUACUUCCAAGAGAAUGGAGUUCUACAACUGGGGUGCCAUAUCAGAGAAGGCCCAGGACUAUGUCACUGCAGAGAGAACCAGGACCAUCAAUGGAACCACCACCGAGGGCUCCAGUACAGAUUUUACUGUGUUUUUGAACAUACAAGGGCUUUGUCUGUGGGAACUCUUGUUCUUGCUACCUUGGACUUCUCUGCGAGCAACUCCUGCACUGGUGCCUCAUUGGACACGUGGAACUUUGGGAAUUAUUAUAUUCUGAAUAUCCAUGUUAUAUUUUGUUGGGGACAUUGCUGCAUUUUUGUUGCUAUAUUUGCUACCUGAUUUAAACUUGCAAAAUAUUACAAAUUGCAAUUGUGUUUUCAUUAUUCAUUUAUAAAAUAACCCCAUAGAACCCACAAGAGAGAGAAAAAUACAUAAUGUCAGACAUGUGUGCUGAUGCGCAAGGUGGCACAACUGGGGUGUAAUUAAGUGUGUGUGCGCAGACGUGCAUACAGGGCUGCGGGGGGCUGGUGCCAGCCUUGAUCAUCAUCAUCCUGUCAGGCAUUCUGUGUUUAAGCCUCUAUUGUGAUACUCAUCUUUUAAGGGGGUGGAGUAGGACUUGUCCCUCUUACUGUAUUGCUUGAUGAGAAUUUUAAUAAUUUUAUAUUGUACCAUUUCUUUUCUUUUUUUAAU